UGAUGAAUAUUGGUCAAUGGACGCAAGUCUGAACCAGCCAAGUAGCGUGCAGGAUGACGGCCCUAUGGGUUGUAAACUGCUUUUAUAUGGGGAUAAAGUGGGGAACGUGUUCCCUUUUGCAGGUACCAUAUGAAUAAGGACCGGCUAAUUUCGUGCCAGCAGCCGCGGUAAUACGGAAGGUCCAGGCGUUAUCCGGAUUUAUUGGGUUUAAAGGGAGUGUAGGCGGUUGGUUAAGCGUGUUGUGAAAUGUAGAUGCUCAACAUCUGACUUGCAGCGCGAACUGGCUGACGUGAGUAAACACAACGUAGGCGGAAUUCAUGGUGUAGCAGUGAAAUGCUUAGAUAUCAUGAAGAACGCCGAUUGCGAAGGCAGCUUACGGGAGGGUUACGGACGCUUAAGCUCGAAGGUGCGGGUAUCGAACAGG
rnacentral:rRNA from 1 species